UACGUAGGUGGCAAGCGUUGUCCGGAUUUACUGGGCGUAAAGCGCGCGUAGGCGGCUUUUCAAGCCGAUUGUGAAAUCCCCGGGCUUAACCUGGGAACUGCAGUCGGGACUGUCUAGCUAGAGUAUGGGAGAGGGAAGUGGAAUUUCAGGUGUAGCGGUGAAAUGCGUAGAUAUCUGAAGGAACAUCAGUGGCGAAAGCGACUUCCUGGACCAAUACUGACGCUCAUGUGCGAAAGCGUGGGGAGCAAACAGG
rnacentral:rRNA from 1 species